UAGAAAGAAGCAAGGAGCCCCCCGACCCCUUCUUCCAAAUAUACUCUUUUGUCUUUAUCUUUAUUCCCACAUUCAUCAUCCUUUGUUCAGUCCAACAGGGAUGGAAUCCGUGGCAAAGUGGCGACCCAGAACAGGGACUUGAGGACGUUGCAAAGUGGCUUCUGAACACAGAGACCGGAGGACGUGAACGAAGAAGGUCGGCUGGAGCAGAGGAACCGAAAACGACAAGAUGAAUGGGGACCCCGAGACAAGCCUGCCAGCAGCGGAUAUAAGGCAGGCACUCUUGAUGUGGAAAACUGGAACAGAGCGGGAGAAGGAUUGAAACAUGCUCAUCAAAAAGGUCUUAAAGUUGAUUCUUCUGCUUUCUGUACUUGCAGUCUAAUUCGUACUGUACUUAUGCCGUUAUCUCCUUAUUAUUCUGCGGGACAGCAGGCUGAGUCUAAAAAUCUGAAAGAAUCUGUUGUCCCACCCACAGCUUCAAUUGAAAAUAAAAAACAGGAGAGGGAGGAUAAAAAUUGGCCUAUACUGC
rnacentral:lncRNA from 10 species